rnacentral:lncRNA from 1 species
AUCUCACGGUGUUUUGUUUUAAUUUUAUCGCACAAAAUUCUCAUACCACCAGUGAAUAGGGUGCUGCCCUUUAAAUAGGUGUGGCAUCCUAAUCUAAUCAAAAGUCAUAAUCAGUUUAGGACUCAAAACUUUGUCCAACUAGGGAACCCAACUAAAGAAAGGAGAGCGCCUCUUGCUUUCAUGCACGCACAUCAAAGGGGCAACAAUUAUUUGCACACCCUCCUCUCCUUAGUCGGCCACCAUAUGAUAGAGAGUCUCAAGAUUUUGGGACUCUUUGUUCUAAAUCAAAUGGCUUCAGAUUUAACUUGAUUUGGAUCUGAUUCCAACCUGAUUCAAACC